UGAGCAGGGGGGUGAGGGGGGGGGGUGUUAUGAAAAAGAUUUUUGUCAAAUUUUACUGGACAUGCGUGCAAAACGUCAAUACAAAGUUGAAGAAUCUUUAAGCUCCCAGUGUCUGUGUCCUACAUAUGCAUUCAAUAAAAGUAAUGGAAAGCUGUCUAGUGUAUAUAUAAGGCCGGGGCCCUGUUUCCGUGGAAGAGGCUGAUCUAUUUUUGGGUUUAUUUCGUGUUAUGCAUUAAACAUAGGCGAGUUUUUUUGAUCCCCCUAAGUCUCUCAAUCUAUUAGGAAGCCUAUGACACGCAGAUGGUUGUGUUGUCUGUUUCUAGGGUAUAUGUUAUGUCAUUUUGUCUUCUGGGUGAAUUUAAUUCUGAGGUUAAUCUGGCUUGCAGCGUAUCCCAUGUUUCCAAGCUUGAGAAUCUCGAGCAUAACCAGACCGUGUUUUGAGCGGGUUAAUGAAAUGGCAACAAGAAGGGGUGCACCCCAGGGCCGUUAGCAUGGCAUGGUUCAAUCCCAAGGGAGGCGACGUGUGUCCUAUUCCUGGCACCACCAAGAUUGGGGUGGGGAAAACUUUGAUCAGAACAUUGGAGCUCUUUCAAUAAAACUAACACCAAGAAACGACCGAACUGAAUCCUUUGCCGCAGCCGAGGCGUGAAGGGUUCAGAUACCCGGGGGUACGGCUUUUACUUGGAUGGAGUCAGACACUCCACCGUUGUCUUCUUGGACAUCUAAUGAACACAAUAAGGCCUUAUUACUUGUGUGCUGCUGCUUGUUUUAUUUGAGUUGUAAAAUAUUUUAGGUUUGUGCUUUGUUCUGGAGUUAUUUGAAAACGGACAUGGGUUAUACCGAACUAUGUUACUUGCUUGUUAGCCGGAAUAAAAAUACAAUUUUUCUGUUAAAAACUGUUUUUGUCCACAUACAUUUGAAGACAGUGGUAAGAAUGUUUGCAAAUAAAGAUUAUAAUAUGUGAUUUCCUUGUACAAACAAACUUUUAGACCUAUUCCUGAGAGCAGGAGAAUUCAAAAAAAAAAAGGGUACAUAACACUUUAAAGAAUUUGUGCAGAUGACAAUUGUAUAAGAGAAAGCUCAACCCCAUAUGUCAUUGUGUUUCUGGAGUAUGUAGGUUUGGCGUAAUGUGACUCAGAACUGCACCACUUGCUGACAAAUGUAUACAGCCGGUGAGGGUGAGGAGGAAAUUGAGGCAACAAAGGGCGGUGAGAGCAGGUGUUUUUCUCGAUGCCUUUGGCCUGCAUGUCGACAAAACCCGCUUUCUUUGCUCUGAAAGGUAAGAGAGAAGAGAAAUGGUCUAGUACCUUUGAGAUAGGUGACGUCUUUAUAGGGGCGCGCGAUCCGCCCAUGUAAGCGAAGCUUGAGCGCCUUCCGAUUGAUUGCAAUUCGAUCACUAAAUUCACACACAUUUGGGGUAGUUUCGAACGUCCAUUCCAAAAUGUAAAUUACCGGAUAUUCCUGUUCUCUAUCACAAGAGUUGGAAUCAAUUAGGCCAUAACAAGGUAACUCAACCAUUUGUUCCAGAUAAAAUAAUGCAAGAAUCAAAUUAUACUCUUGGACUACCAAUAUAUGUUCUCUUGUCAACUUAAUCCAUGUCAAAAUUGUUAGAUAAUUCCAACAUUAUGAUGGCAGUAGCAGAAAAUAAUGUUUCCUGUUUUUCUUUUUAUGGGUAAGUAUUCUUGUUCUUCUUCUCUUCUCUUGCCAAUCACAGACGGGAUAGCUGAAGAAACUGAAUUUAAGAGGGUAAGAGAAAUGUACAUUGGUCUCUCGAAGGCCUCCUGCUGCAACAAUCAGAAAUAGUUUUUCCUACUUGGCCGUGGUGGCAUUUUAUUUCUGUUAAGCAACAAUUUAGGAACUAGCUAGCAUCCAAAUGCCUACUUCAACUUCUUGUGAAUCGUGAUUAUUCCGAGAACUUGGGAUAUUCAGUUUUGGUAAAUCUAAGUUACUUGUGAAUAUUCGGAAGUUUUAAUUUAGGAAAUUUAAUUUCUACACUCCAUUUUUUUUGUUAUCUACACUCCAAAAUAGGAGUGUAGAAAUCAAACCCCCAUAAUGAUCUUGAUUCUACUAACCCUCUAUUUUGGAUGUAGAUUAUCAUUUUUUGGAGUGUAGAAAUCAUUUUCCCUAGAUUUAUUAGUACAUCUUUAGUUUAAAUUGAGGGAAUUAGUACUAGAUGACCAGAUAAAUACUUUAGAAAUUAUUGGCCUAGUUACCUUUAAUAGUUUGUUUAUUGAAAGUUGCAAAAGUUUUUAACGUAGGACACUCAAAAUGGCAAUCAUAAUAUUUCAAUAUGAACGAAGAGAAUAGUAUUUUGGAGCGGGGUCAAACCCGUUGUGACGUAACCCAAUUGGAUGGCCUGAGUAAUGCGAAACGACCGGGUCCGGACCAAACGUAGGCGCUGAUAUAAGCAAUAAACAAAUAAUGAUAUUUUUAUUGAAUAAUUAGAGUCACGUGACAAUUCCUAAUAAGAGUAAUGUUAUAACGGGCUCGAGCCUGUGGU
rnacentral:lncRNA from 1 species